rnacentral:lncRNA from 1 species
CACCUACCCGCAGCCGCCGCAGCCAUAGCACGGUGGACACCAGGCUCAGCCGCAGCAGCAGCGGCAGCAGCGGGAGCAGCUCGGAUGGGGGGGGGAAGCCAGAGCCCCCCAUGGCUCCGGCAAUGCCGCAGGUCCCCGGGCGGUGGGCACAGGCCUGUGGCACGGAGCCCCAAAUUUCAUGAGCCACGAGAAGGGCUCAGCACCGAUGCCAGGGGCUGGGAGAGGAGCCCCCAGCACGGGGACGGCACCACCAGCACCCACAGCAUGUCCUGGGGCUGAGCACCCCCCCUCCCCAUGAGCCCCCCAUCCUGUGCCAGGGUGCUGCACACACAUGGGGGACGCUGCCCAUGGGUGUUGGGGUGCCACAGGAGGGGUGCAGCCUGCUUCUGACCCCAUUUCUGCAGGGUUGCCCCCCCCAGCCAGCCUUACCGAGCUCCCUGGCCCCCCCACAAGCCGGAGCCCACCGGGAUGGUGCCACGGUGCGAUGCCCACUGCCCGCUCCCACCCCUGCGGGACCCCCGUUGGGGCACGGCGCGGUGCACACGCACCCCCCUUUGUGACACCACGCAGUUCUCCCUCCUUCCAGCCCCAAACGGAGUUUUGAUGUAGAUGGGAGCCCCUCGAUGCCAAACGCCGGGUCCAGCAGGAACCCACCCCAUGUCCCCCCUGCCUCCUGGUCUCCCCCCUAAGCCCCCCUGGGCUGUGGGGUGGCCGGGCCCGGGCUCGUCCUGCAGCUGCUGGAAUUUCCCUUCCGUGGGGUUUGGUUCCUGCACUGAGAAGCAGGGCGGUGGCGGCUGGGCAGGGCAGGCUGCAGCACCACGUCGUGCAGAAAAUGAAAGCAGGCGAGCGAGCAGCAGCUCCGGGUCUGCCCCUUUCCUGUUUUCUGUUUUGCAGCUCCGGUUUCAGCCCUGGCCCUGCACAGGGCCCCCGGGGCCUGCUGGGCUGGGACAACCCACCCGCAGGGACACCCGUGGGCAGGGGCACCCACCCGCAGGGACAUCACCGCCGGGAAUGGGACACCACCGGGACAGGGACACCACUGGGACUGGGACACCACUGGGGAGGACCCCCCAGUUCCUGAUGGACAU